rnacentral:rRNA from 1 species
UGGGGAAUUUUGGACAAUGGGCGCAAGCCUGAUCCAGCCAUGCCGCGUGCGGGAAGAAGGCCUUCGGGUUGUAAACCGCUUUGUCAGGGAAGAAAUCUUCCGAGUUAAUACCUCGGGAGGAUGACGGCACCUGAAGAAUAAGCACCGGCUAACUACGUGCCAGCAGCCGCGGUAAUACGUAGGGUGCAAGCGUUAAUCGGAAUUACUGGGCGUAAAGCGUGCGCAGGCGGUUUUGUAAGACAGAGGUGAAAUCCCCGGGCUCAACCUGGGAACUGCCUUUGUGACUGCAAAGGCUUGAGUGCGGCAGAGGGGGGAUGGAAUUCCGCGUGUAGCAGUGAAAUGCGUAGAUAUGCGGAGGAACACCGAUGGCGAAGGCAAUCCCCUGGGCUCACUGACGCUCAUGCACGAAAGCGUGGGGAGCAAACAGGAUUAGAUACCCUGGUAGUCCACG